CCUACGGGAGGCAGCAGUGAGGAAUAUUGGUCAAUGGACGAGAGGCUGAACCAGCCAAGUCGCGUGAAGGAUGACUGCCCUAUGGGUUGUAAACUUCUUUUAUAUGGGAAUAAAAUGUUCCACGUGUGGGAUUUUGUAUGUACCAUAUGAAUAAGGAUCGGCUAACUCCGUGCCAGCAGCCGCGGUAAUACGGAGGAUGCGAGCGUUAUCCGGAUUUAUUGGGUUUAAAGGGUGCGUAGGUGGAUUGUUAAGUCAGUUGUGAAAGUUUGCGGCUCAACCGUAAAAUUGCAGUUGAUACUGGCAGCCUUGAGUACAGUAGAGGUAGGCGGAAUGCGUGGUGUAGCGGUGAAAUGCUUAGAUAUCACGAAGAACUCCGAUUGCGAAGGCAGCCUGCUGGACUGUAACUGACGCUGAGGAGCGAAAGCGUGGGUAGCAAACAGGAUUAGAUACCCUUGUAGUC
rnacentral:rRNA from 1 species